rnacentral:lncRNA from 1 species
GGAGGCAAACACCGAGCUCCCCCUGAGCCGCCUGGGAGCAGGGAGGGUUCUGCUACCCUGAGGUGCCCUCCCCGCGGGGCAGAGGGGUUUCCUCAGCAGUGCCCCAGAGCAGGGACUGCGCCAGCCGGCAGAAACAGCUAGUUCUUGUCUGCAGUGAAGAAUAAUUGGAAGCAUGGUGCCUGUUUCUUUUCCUGUGGGAGGAAGUCACAGCAUGUGCUUCUGAACCUGUGCUUGCCUUGAGGAACAACGGCAUGACACGGGGAUGUGGACGCUUUCAACCAGAAGAUUCUGUACGAUAGUGUCGGCACACAAGGAGUGUUCCGCUGACUGACCUCUUUUUGUUUUCAAAUGAAGAGGAGCCAAGAAUAGGACAGCUUGGGAAGGUGAGCUGCGUAUAACUCGUCAGGCUGAACUCAUCCUCGUCUACGGCCAAACGUUGGUUUCUCAUUUCUAGAAUGAAAGAUGUGAUGACUUAGGGAAAACUUGCUGCUCGAGAUGUGAGUCUUCAGAUGUUCCUGCCGCCAUAUCUGACAGCUGCUGCCAAGAUUCCCUGGUGGGAUGGACUCUUAUACCUCGACAACCAGAAGCCCAAGUAAACUCUUCUAUAAAUUGAAUGACUCAUGCUUAAAAAAAACU